ACUCAAAUGAAUAGACGGGGGCCCGCACAAGCGGUGGAGCAUGUGGUUUAAUUCGACGCAACGCGAAGAACCUUACCUGGACUCGAACGGCUUCAGACCGUCGUAGAAAUACGAUCUUUCCGCAAGGAACUGGAGUCGAGGUGCUGCAUGGCUGUCGUCAGCUCGUGUCGUGAGAUGUUGGGUUAAGUCCCGCAACGAGCGCAACCCUUGUCCUGUGUUGCUAAUCGAAAGAUGCACUCUCAGGAGACCGCCAGCGAUAAGUUGGAGGAAGGUGGGGAUGACGUCAAGUCAUCAUGGCCUUUAUGCCCAGGGCUACACACGUGCUACAAUGGACGGUACAAACCGUUGCAAACCCGCGAGGGGGAGCUAAUCGGAAAAAACCGUUCUCAGUUCGGAUUGCAGGCUGCAACUCGCCUGCAUGAAGCUGGAAUCGCUAGUAAUGGUAUAUCAGAAUGAUACCGUGAAUACGUUCCCGGGCCUUGUACACACCGCCCGU
rnacentral:rRNA from 1 species